UGGGGAAUUUUGGACAAUGGGGGAAACCCUGAUCCAGCCAUUCCGCGUGAGUGAAGAAGGCCUUCGGGUUGUAAAGCUCUUUCGGCAGGAACGAAACGGUUUUGGGCUAAUACCCCAGACUACUGACGGUACCUGAAGAAGAAGCACCGGCUAACUACGUGCCAGCAGCCGCGGUAAUACGUAGGGUGCGAGCGUUAAUCGGAUUUACUGGGCGUAAAGCAUGCGCAGGCGGCGGUUCAAGUCAGGUGUGAAAUCCCCGAGCUUAACUUGGGAAUUGCGCUUGAAACUAGAUCGCUAGAGUACGGCAGAGGGGGGUAGAAUUCCACGUGUAGCAGUGAAAUGCGUAGAGAUGUGGAGGAACACCGAUGGCGAAGGCAGCCCCCUGGGCCUGUACUGACGCUCAUGCAUGAAAGCGUGGGGAGCAAACAGGAUUAGAUACCCACGUAGUCCCUGAGCGGGCUGGCAAGGCGCAU
rnacentral:rRNA from 1 species